GAACCUGUUUCUUUGGUGUUGUAG
rnacentral:siRNA from 1 species